AAAAACUAAAACUAAUACCCAAAAAUCAAAAAACCCAUUUUCCCCAAUUUUCAUUCACUUCUCGUCACUUUCACCGCCAUUCCCCUUCUUCUUCUUCCUUCUCAUUCCUUCUCCUUCUUUCUUGUGUAAACCGACCUUCCCUUAUCUCUAAAUCCUUCUCUUUUUCUUCUUCUUCUUUCGUAUAAUCAAGGUAUCAUCUCAACACGCCAUUUUCAAGUGAAUUCCACCUCUUCUUUCAUUCGAUUUUCAUUUGAAAUUAGGGUGGAGAAAGGUUCUUUUGGCUUCGAAAUUUAGGGCAAAAACAAGCUUCAAUCACCUUAUACAUCCGAGUUCACAAGAGACCAAGUGUAUUUCUCAAUCUUCUUCUUCUUCCUUUGAAUUUCGAAAGGCUGCGUGAAAUCAAAGUAGCAAUCGAAAUCCUUCCCCUUGUCUUUGAAUUCUGCCGGUUUUGGGGGGGGGGGGGAGAAGAGGGAGCUUCAAUCUUGUGGAUUAAACAUCAAAUUCAAAUCAAGAAUCAAGCAUUGAAUCCGAUUUCCAUCUCGUUUUUUUUUGGUAACUGGAACGGAAGCUGAUAACAGAUCGGAUCCGGUCGGAAGUAAUCGGGUUAGCAAUGUUGAUGAGAGUGCUAAGGAUGUCCUAUUGAGCUGAGGCCGUGGAAGCUUAUAGUUUGUAUUAGGAAUUGUUUAAUGUAUAUUAGUUCUGAUUAGUUCUGAUUAUGUUGAUUAUAAUGGACUUGUAGUGACUUGUAUGGUUACUUUAUGUUUAGAUUAGAUAUUGGGUUUGAGAUUUAGCUGUGUUGGUUUCGUUAUAGAGCUGGUGAUUCCUUUGCCCAGGUUUUGGGAUAUGAUUUAAGUUUCUUGGGAAAUAAUCCCCGUGACAACCCUGUUUACCCAGUCAUCGGUAAGUCGGGUUGUUACACUAUUAUAACAUUAUGAUUGGAUUUUUUUAA